AAACUUCACUUAAAUUCCUUUCCACAGCAAGCCUUCUUUUUAUCACAAAUUUCCACCUGUCAACAUUUUCAAAACGAUGAAAGGAAAUGUUGUCAAUGGGUACAAGGGAUACAUCUUGAGGGAUCCUCUUUUUCUUCACAGACUUCUUUGAGGAUGCUGCAGGCGAUGCAGUAGCAUGUUGGUCUUCCUCAAACUCUGAAUCACCAGAGGAAAUAGUCUUCCUCCUCAAAAGCUUCUUCUUUGGCUCAGAGGGCCUAGUAAUCUUACUUCACUGUCUUUUAAGACCAUAGAUUUUCUUUUCCUUGGCAGUCUUGACAGAAACAUUAGAAACAGCUACACCUUUAAGGUUGAGAUUGUCCACAUAAAUAACAUUUGAAUCUUUCUCAGCAGAUUCAUCAACAUUCAAAGGAACAAACAUAGUUUUACCACUAUCAUCAACAUAAGGGAUCACAUAGAUAUCAUGAACAAAAACAUUAUCAGUAGUAGUUGCUUCAGAACCCUUUUCUUUGUCAGGAACAAUAACAUCGUCUGGAGACUCGGGUAUCACG
rnacentral:lncRNA from 1 species